ACAGAGGGUGCGAGCGUUAAUCGGAAUUACUGGGCGUAAAGGGCGCGUAGGCGGUUGUAUAAGUUGUUUGUGAAAUCCCCGGGCUUAACCUGGGAAUGGCAAAUGAGACUGUAUGACUGGAGUGCUGUAGAGGGUAGUGGAAUUUCCGGUGUAGCGGUGAAAUGCGUAGAUAUCGGAAGGAACACCGGUGGCGAAGGCGGCUACCUGGACAGACACUGACGCUGAGGCGCGAGAGCGUGGGUAGCAAACAGGA
rnacentral:rRNA from 1 species